rnacentral:tRNA from 1 species
GCCGGGUUGCUGGAACAGGCAGACAGGGCGAGCUCAAACCUCGCUGUCCGAGAGGGCGUGCGGGUUCGAGUCCCGCACCCGGCACCG